CCCUUAGAUGUUCUGGGCCGCACGCGCGCUACACUGACGAAUGCAACGAGCUUAUAACCUUGGCCGAAAGGUCUGGGUAAUCUCCAAAUUUCGUCGUGAUGGGGAUAGAUUAUUGCAAUUAUUAAUCUUCAACGAGGAAUGCCUAGUAAGCGCAAGUCAUCAGCUUGCGUUGAUUACGUCCCUGCCCUUUGUACACACCGCCCGUCUCUCCUACCGAUUGAAUGGUCCGGUGAAGCGUUCGGACCGUGGCCUUUGGACGGUUCGCCGUCUGUUGGCUGCGGGAAGUUCGUUAAACCUUAUCAUUUAGAGGAAGGAGAAGUCGUAACA
rnacentral:rRNA from 1 species